rnacentral:rRNA from 1 species
AGUGAACGCUGGCGGUAGGCCUAACACAUGCAAGUCGAACGGCAGCACAGUAAGAGCUUGCUCUUACUGGUGGCGAGUGGCGGACGGGUGAGGAAUACAUCGGAAUCUACUUUUUCGUGGGGGAUAACGUAGGGAAACUUACGCUAAUACCGCAUACGACCUACGGGUGAAAGCAGGGGAUCUUCGGACCUUGCGCGACUGAAUGAGCCGAUGUCGGAUUAGCUAGUUGGCGGGGUAAAGGCCCACCAAGGCGACGAUCCGUAGCUGGUCUGAGAGGAUGAUCAGCCACACUGGAACUGAGACACGGUCCAGACUCCUACGGGAGGCAGCAGUGGGGAAUAUUGGACAAUGGGCGCAAGCCUGAUCCAGCCAUACCGCGUGGGUGAAGAAGGCCUUCGGGUUGUAAAGCCCUUUUGUUGGGAAAGAGAAGCAGCAGGUUAAUACCCCGCUGUUCUGACGGUACCCAAAGAAUAAGCACCGGCUAACUUCGUG